CGGACGGACGGCGGCGGCGGCGCGCGCGUGUGGGUUUAUGACCGAACCCAAUGGGAUAUAGGUCUUCCCCCUUCCAAAGACUAUUGGUACCCCUUGGGGCCCAAACCCAAUUCCAAACUUCCACCUUAUAAACCACACCAAAGUUUCCUAACUUUCCUAUGUGGGAUAAGUGUUUGGCAAAUCAAAUUCUUCCAUAAUCCUUAGUUUAUGUGGGUUACUUUAACGCUUAAUAUUUCAUUCAAUUUUAAAUGGUUUUCAAUAAAUAAAUAUAUCACGUUAAUCAUCUCGCGGAGUAGAACGUGAAUAUGCUAGGUCCCG
rnacentral:lncRNA from 1 species